CCUACGGGAGGCAGCAGUGGGGAAUAUUGCACAAUGGGGGAAACCCUGAUGCAGCGACGCCGCGUGAAGGAAGAAGUAUUUCGGUAUGUAAACUUCUAUCAGCAGGGAAGAAAAUGACGGUACCUGACUAAGAAGCCCCGGCUAACUACGUGCCAGCAGCCGCGGUAAUACGGAGGAUGCGAGCGUUAUCCGGAUUUACUGGGUGUAAAGGGAGCGUAGACGGCGCGGCAAGUCUGAAGUGAAAGGCAGGGGCUUAACCCCUGAACUGCUUUGGAAACUGCCAUGCUAGAGUGCUGGAGAGGGAAGUGGAAUUCAUAGUGUAGCGGUGAAAUGCGUAGAUAUUAGGAGGAACACCAGUGGCGAAGGCGGCUUACUGGACAGUAACUGACGUUGAGGCUCGAAAGCGUGGGGAGCAAACAGGAUUAGAUACCCCAGUGUC
rnacentral:rRNA from 1 species